rnacentral:lncRNA from 1 species
CAAUAAUACCAAUAAUACCAAUAAUAUCAAUAAUAACUAUGAUAACAAUAAUAUCAAUAAUAACUAUGAUAACAAUGAUAAGAAUGACAAGAAUGAUAUAAAAUAUGUAAAGAAUAGAACACAAAGAAUUAGAUCAAAUAACAAUCCAUUAUUUUCUAUAAAUAACAAUAAAAACAUAUUAAGUAAUGAAUCUAAUGAAAAUGUGAUUAAUAAUAAAAAAAAUUUUAACAACACUAAAGUGAAUAAUAAAAAAUUAAUUCAUAAAAAUAACAUAUCUGAUAUUGUUAAUGAAGAAAUUGGAUAUACCCCUAAAUUAAAUUUAACUAAUAAUGUCAUAGUAAAUGAUAUAAACAGAGUAAAUACAACUAUUAUUGAUAAUUCUUCAAGUAAUAAUAAAGCCACAUAUUACAGUACCAAUUACAAAUAUAUUCCGAAUAGUACAGUAGUAAAUAAUAGCUAUUUAUCAACUAAAUUUAUUAAUAAUACAAAAAACUGUAACGAUAAGAAAAGCUUUGAUAAAAUGAAAAAAGUAGUAAAAUCAGAUAUAAUAUACCCUGUAGCGAAAAAUAAUAUGAACUUAAACGAACAUACUUAUAACAAAAAUGAAAUCUCCACUACAUCACCCUUUGCAAAAAUCGUUUCUCUUUUCAAACCGACAACUACAAAAGAAAAAAAAUAAGAAUAAUGUAAUAGUAUCACAUAUAAACAAUACUAAUAGUGUAUAUGAAAGAAGUCUAAACAAACAAUUUAAUGCCAAUGAUUAUUUAAAUGAAGAAAAAAAACAAAAGCAGAAAGAAAGUACAAUAUCUGGUAAUACUAACUAUAUUAAUAAUUAUAGUGAUAAAGAUAACAAUAGCGAAAAUAAAAUAAAUGAUGAAAUGAAAGAAAAUAAUUAUAAUAAAAUAAAAAUGUGUCGUACACAUAAUAGAUCAAGAUCUGCAGAUGUUUAUCAUCAUCAUAAUAAUAAUAAUAAUAAUAGUACUAGUAAUAGUUCUAGUAAUAAUAGUACUAGUAAUAGUACUAGUAAUAAUAACAUAAAUGUCGUUGAUAAUAUCAUAAGGAUUAGUGACAACAUGAACACUUGUAACAAUGCAAAUUAUAAAACAGAUAACUUCAAAAAUUCUUCGUAUAGUAAAAAAUAAAAUGUGUAGAUUCUUUUAAAUAUGAAAAUAAUAAAGUAAAUUAUAAUAAAAACCA